rnacentral:rRNA from 1 species
GACGAACGCUGGCGGCGUGCUUAACACAUGCAAGUCGAACGGUGAAGCGCUUGCCUUUUUGGUGGGUGUGGAUGAGUGGCGAACGGGUGAGUAACACGUGAGUAACCUGCCCUCUUCUUCUGGAUAACCUCAUGAAAGUGGGGCUAAUACGGGGUAUUCCGGGUCUGUCGCAUGGCGGGUUUGGGAAAGAUUGCGCCUUUGGGUGUUUUCGGUGGGGGAUGGGCUCGCGGCCUAUCAGCUUGUUGGUGGGGUGAUGGCCUACCAAGGCGGUGACGGGUAGCCGGCCUGAGAGGGUGGACGGCCACACUGGGACUGAGACACGGCCCAGACUCCUGCGGGAGGCAGCAGUGGGGAAUAUUGCACAAUGGGCGCAAGCCUGAUGCAGCGACGUCGCGUGAGGGAUGGAGGCCUUCGGGUUGUGAACCUCUUUCGCCAGUGAAGCAGGCCUGCUCCUGUGUGGGUGGGUUGACGGUAGCUGGAUAAGAAGCGCCGGCUAACUACGUG